rnacentral:tRNA from 1 species
GGAGAGGUGGCAGAGUGGCCGAUUGCAACUUCCUGCUAAGAAGUUGACCGGGGUGACCUGGUCCCAGGGUUCGAAUCCCUGCCUCUCCG